AAAUCUUGAGAGUAUUGGAGGCGACAUAGAUUUGUUCUCAUCUCUUGCUAGCAUAGGAACCUCAUUUGAGCUAGCAUCUAGGAUGGUGAGUGGGUUUAUGUGCUCUAAAGGUUUAAUGUCUUGGGUUUGGGAUGUGAGAAAGUUGAGAAAGAUGAACGAGAGAGUGUAAAAGAAAAGGAAAAACCCUAGGGACCAAAAGAAAGAAAGAAAACUCUAGAUUAUGUCAUUUGAGACCUUUCCCCUAUAAAAAAAAGGGAAAGAAAAGAAAAGAAAAAGAAAAGAAAAAGAAAAAGAAAGUCUCAAUAAGAUAGUGGGGAAGGGCAAAGAAAAAGAGUUAGAGCUAAGAAGUGAAAAGAAGAUCUCUAGUUGGUUGAGUCAAAAUAAAAAGAGAGUUGUUCAUUGGGUGAGUGAUGUUAGUGGGUGUUAUUGUUAUUUUGGGUGUUGGGUGAUGUAAUAUGAGGAUAGAACUUGGGAUCACUUAAGCAAAAGGUAGAAUGAUGAGAAUGGAUCUAUGUAUACAUGAAUUGCUUCUAGUCUUAGAUAAAUUUUGCAUAAUGAUCAAGCUCCUUGUUCUUGAGUGAUAACCACCUUGAAAUGAUGCAUUUAAACCCUCCUCUCAUUCAUAUUAGACCAUUUGCUUACCUAGCCAAAUGACUGAGAUCAUGUGCCCAUUUGUGAGAAUUCACCUUGUGUGUGUGUGUGUGUGUGAAUCAAUGUGAGAGCUG
rnacentral:lncRNA from 1 species